CAGCACCUCAAGUGGUCAGGAUGAUUAUUGGGCCUAAAGCAUCCGUAGCCGGCUCUGUAAGUUUUCGGUUAAAUCUGUAUGCUCAACAUACGGGCUGCCGGGAAUACUGCAGAGCUAGGGAGUGGGAGAGGUAGACGGUACUCGGUAGGAAGGGGUAAAAUCCUUUGAUCUAUUGAUGACCACCUGUGGCGAAGGCGGUCUACCAGAACACGUCCGACGGUGAGGGAUGAAAGCUGGGGGAGCAAACCGGAUUAGAGACCCGAGUAGUCC
rnacentral:rRNA from 1 species